UACGGAGGGUGCAAGCGUUAAUCGGAAUUACUGGGCGUAAAGGGUGCGUAGGUGGUUGAUUAAGUUAGCUGUGAAAUUCCUGGGCUUAACCUGGGCUGGACGACUAAGACUGAUUGACUGGAGUAUAGGAGAGGGUAGUGGAAUUUCGGUGUAGCGGUGAAAUGCGUAGAGAUCGGAAGGAACACCAGUGGCGAAGGCGGCUACCUGGCCAGAUACUGACACUGAAGCACGAAAGCGUGGGGAGCAAACAGG
rnacentral:rRNA from 1 species